AAGGAGUAAUCUUCACGGAAGAAAGAAUUUUGUGAACAAGUUUUAACACUAAUACACAUUUGCAAGCAUUCUGUGACUGCAUAGUAGAGGAGCAAGAGCCGUACAGGUGCCCAACUCACAACUCACUUCUUGGGAGCUUCGGGACGAGGUUUCUUCAAGGUCUGAAGUCUGGAAUUGAAGAAUAGCAGUUAAGAAAUUAAGAAGUGAAGAUUUGCUGAAUGGAACAAAUCUUGUGCCCUAAGACCACAACGCUGAUGAGUGGGGACUGGGAGGCAUGUGAUGAAAUGACGCUUCAUCCCAGAUCAGCUGUGCAAGUGCUGGCAAUGGCUACCUGAUGGACUGGCAGACGUUUCCAAAUCAUCACCAAGGGCAGCCCGAUGUACAGCUCAUUUCAGCAGUUCAUUUCCCAGGCAUGAACGAUAAUGACAAGGUCUCCAUUAUUCCGGAAGGGGUCCUAUUGGCAAGCCAGGUGGGUUGGUGAAGUGCACUCCUGAUUCUUGGAAAGGAGAACCCUAAAAGGUGGGCCACAAGUUUGUGGUAUUUGACUUUUCCCCCUGUUGGUUUGAUGGGCAUCUCAAUGUCUCUUUGAAGAAUGGUUGACAGUCAGGGUAGAAAACAGAAAAGGCAUUGCAGAGGGACUGCAGGAUACCCUGAGCCACCCAUACUCAAGCUUUUUAAAGGGGGGUCCACAUGCUUGCAAAGUACCCGCACGCUACC